GCAAUAGCUACUUGCAUCAUUGUAAAUAUGAUGCAAGAUCGACUAUGUCGAAUAAAAUUCUAGGUAGAAUUAUGAUAAUGACAUUGUCUGCCUAUGUGUCUUGACCAAAUUACGUGCCAGCUGUCGCGGUAAUACGUAGAAGACUAGUGUUAUUCAUGUUUAAUCGGUUUAAAGGGUACCUAGACGGUAAAUCAAGCCUAAAAAGAAGGAAAUAAAGGGACUAAUUUACUAGAGUUACUUAUGAGGGGGUAUUAAAGUACUGCUGGUGUAGAGAUGAAAUUCUGUCAUACCUCUUUUCAAUAGAAAAAUAAUGGCACAGGUAUAGGCGAAGGCAUCCCCUUAUGUGAUAACUGACGUUGAGGGACGAAGGCUUUGUGUAGCGAACAGGAUUAGAUACCCCAGUAGUCAAAGCAGAAAAUGAUGAAUGUCAUAGAUUAGAUAUAUAAGUUUAUUCUAUAAAUGAAAGUGUAAGCAUUCCACCUCAAGAGUAAUUUGGCAACAUUGGAACUGAAAUCAUUAGACCGUUUCUGAAACCAGUAGUGAAGUAUGUUGUUUAAUUUGAUAAUCCGCAAAAAACCUUACCACAAUUUGAAUAUUUAUAUUUUUUUUUAUUGUUUUUCUUUUUAAUUAUCUUCCGAUUUUCUAGUUAAAGGAAAACUAGAAGAAAAAGAAAAAAAAGGCAAUAAGAUAUA
rnacentral:rRNA from 1 species